UACGGAGGGUGCAAGCGUUAUCCGGAUUCACUGGGUUUAAAGGGUGCGUAGGUGGGAAUGUAAGUCAGUGGUGAAAUCUCCGGGCUUAACCCGGAAACUGCCGUUGAUACUAUUUGUCUUGAAUAUUGUGGAGGUAAGCGGAAUAUGUCAUGUAGCGGUGAAAUGCUUAGAUAUGACAUAGAACACCAAUUGCGAAGGCAGCUUACUACACAAUGAUUGACACUGAGGCACGAAAGCGUGGGGAUCAAACAGG
rnacentral:rRNA from 1 species